AGAGUUUGAUCCUGGCUCAGAUUGAACGCUGGCGGCAUGCCUUACACAUGCAAGUCGAACGGCAGCACGGGAGCAAUCCUGGUGGCGAGUGGCGAACGGGUGAGUAAUAUAUCGGAACGUGCCCAGUCGUGGAGGAUAACGUAGAGAAAUUUACGCUAAUACCGCAUACGAUCUAAGGAUGAAAGCGGGGGACCGUAAGGCCUCGCGCGAUUGGAGCGGCUGAUAUCAGAUUAGGUUGUUGGUGAGGUAAAAGCUCACCAAGCCGACGAUCUGUAGCUGGUUUGAGAGAACGACCAGCCACACUGGGACUGAGACACGGCCCAGACUCCUACGGGAGGCAGCAGUGGGGAAUUUUGGACAAUGGGCGAAAGCCUGAUCCAGCAAUGCCGCGUGCAGGAAGAAGGCCUUCGGGUUGUAAACUGCUUUUGUACGGAACGAAAAGGUCUGC
rnacentral:rRNA from 1 species